GUGGGAGAUGCAGCGCUCGCCCCUCGCUGGUCCGGGCUGCCGCAGCCCGCGCUGCGAGCAGCACCCACCCAAACUUUGCUCCCGCGCUCCAAGGGAGGUGAUGGGGAGGCUGGAGGCGCACCGGCAUCCUGCCCCUCCGUGCCGGGAAUGCUCUGCUCGCUGCCGUCUUUCCCAGGGCCCGCAGGUGCUCCGUGGAGCUCCGGGAGCCGAGGCGGUUCGUGCUCCGAGCAUCCCCCCGCGGACCGAGCGGCUCCCGCGGGAUGGAGGGGCCAGGCGGGCAGCGAUGAGCCGGCUGCGCCUGCACCUGGGGAAGGGAAGGCUCCAAAGCCACCAGAGAGCACCUUCCAGUGCCUGGAGGGGCUGCAAGAGAGCUGGAGAGGGAGUUCUGGCAGGGCGUGGAGUGGUGGGGCGUGGGGGAAUUGCUUCGUGCUGACAGCGGGCAGGGUUAGGUGAAAUAUUGGGGAGAAAUUGUUCCCUGUGCAGGUGGAGAGGCUCUGGCGCCGGUUGCCCAGGGAAAAUGUGGCUGCUCCAUCUCUGGAAGUGUUCAAAGCCAGGUUGGACAGGGCUUGGAGCAACCUGGCAUAGUCAGAGGUGUUCCUGCCCAUGGCAGGGGAGGGAUGAGAUGAACUUUAAGGUUUCUUCCAUUCCAAACCAUUCCAGGAUUGCAGGAUGGGGGACUGUGUCAGGCUGGGGCUCCACACAGGGAUUCCUUGUCCAGCCAUGCCAGAGCAGCCAGCUCACAUCCUGAGGGCUUUGCUUUACCUGGCUGUGAGGUUUGCAAAUAUUUGUAUUUCUUUUUUUUCCCUGUGGAUUCUGCCAUUACGUGCAAAUUUCAGUUUUUAAACAAGAUACUAAAAAGACAGAAAACCAAAAUUCAGUCUAAGCUGUGUUUCCCAGUUGGAAAUGGGUUUAGCUUGAGCUGGGGGAGCAGCUGUCCCACUCAGUGUCCCCCCACCCCACUGGGAUGUGGCUGGGCCAAGGGGUGCUGUGCCUGCCCUCAGUUCCUGGAGUUUUAAAAUAAACCCAAAUUGACAGCAGAUGAAAGAAACCACCACAACCACUGCAGCUAAGUCCACCUGUGGCCAUUAAUCACGCCCCUAAAAAUAUAUUGCUGUGUUUAAUCCCAAACCACAAAUUUACUGUCUAAAGAAUUAUCAGAAUAAAUACUUCUAACAGUGAGGACCAUUUAAAUCACUCCUGUGUACUAGCAGACCUCAAAACUGCUCCAGAGGUAGGUUUUUUUCCUUGCAGACCAAUUUAAACCUGCCAACAAUAGCCUUUUUUAUCUUGAACUAGCACAAAUACCCCCUACCCCACAUAUGACCCGAGUGUGGUAAAACCUGACAUUUUCCAAAGAAAUAUUUCAAAUAACAUAAAAGAGAUUUCCUAGCUCAAAAUCCUUUUAUAGGUGAGUAUACCCUUUCUAUGUUUUUUUUCCCUUAAUGUUUUGCCUACAACUGACAGGUGAAGUUUGUGCUUGAGACUGGGAACUGAAAUGAAGAAAUGGAAUCUCCCAUUUAUAUGGAAUUACAGCAUUUUAAUCAAAUGAGCUUUAGAAAAAACUUGUAUUCACUUGAGAAAAGUGGAGGUUUUUUGUUGAUUGAUUCAAGCAUUGUGUGUUGGGUGUAAUAAUUGCUGUUUCAGGGAGAAGUCAGGUGCCAUCAGUGAUACUUCUUGUUGCUGUUGUGUUUUCUUCAAAUUCUGCCUUGCACGAGGUUUUGGUUUUGGUGCUUUUUGCUGCCUUACUCGUCAAAGUUAAGAAAUCAUAAUUUACAGCUGUGCAAGAUUAUUGUUAUUAGGGACAAUGAAGGGGAGGAUUUAGUGACAUGGGGUACAAACCAGGGCUUCAACUCAUGGCUGGAGCUGAGGAGUCAUUUGGAGCCAUCAGGAGCCAGAGACACGACAGAAAAAGUCCCUGACUGCCUGGGUCAUCGGGGAGCUGAUCCUCCUAAAAACUGACUGAACACUGCAAGAAACUCUUUUGUUUAAGCCCAUUCAGUUUCUUGAUCUCAUUUACAAAAAGUCCAGGCAAGGCACAGAGGGGAGCAAAGAGGCUGGCAGCUGAGGGCAGGAUUUUGGUGCUAAUGCUGAAAUUCCAUCUGGAAGUGGGGAUGAGCACCCAGCAUCUGUUAGAAGAGAGGAAGGUGGCAGGAGAUGAUGUGGUGGAUGGACAGGAGGUGUCACGUCAAGACUUGAAGUUACCACGCAGCAUUUUUACCAAAUGUUGUUAUUUUCCCUGUCCUCGAGGCCAAAGAUAAUUUGCAGGAAAAAAAAAAAAAAUUCUGAUUUAUAGAAAAUCAGAAUAAUUUGCAGAAAUAGAACUGUAGAGAAGGUCUUGGAUUUGGGAGUUUAGCUAAAUCUUGGAGGAAGGAAGAGGCAAAUCCUUCCCAGGGGGUUGGCAAGAACAGAUGAGACAGAUUGUGUUUGCUUUGGGUAUGUCCCACCCUGUGGGUCCCCAAAAUCUCUGCUGUGACCACAGUGAGGUUCACAGUAGUAACCCAGAUAUUUUGUCUGUUUGAUGCCACCCACAGCAUCCCUGGGGGCUUUGGGAGGGUCCUUUGCCUGGCUUGUUUGCCACAAAAAUGACAGAUUUGAGGUCCCUCGAAGACUUGGGUUGUGUUUGUGUCACCUCUGUGGGCUCCAGUUGGGAUCAGGUCCCAUUUUUCCCAGGCAUUGCUGCUAAAAGACAAACUUGGUGUCAGAGGGAAGAUAAACUAAAGGAGACUGAGCAGAGGAAGGACAGGGAGAGGCUGAGACAGCACACAAGCAAGUGGCACUGGGGCAGAAUUAAUACAGCAUUGCUAAAUAUAUGCUUUGGAUGGAUUUCAUUUUUAACUUUGGGCUGAGAUAAGGGCCAGCAGAGCUGAUAGGGAGAGGAGUUUCCUCACCCCUCCACAGAGCUUCUACAUUGCCCUGAAGCAUUUGCAAAAAUGUUAACUGCUUGUGCUGCCUGAGCUGGUGGGAUAAAGAAAGUGAUGCAGAAAUCCAUGCUGUCAGGGGGUUUUAUUUCUUAUCUGUGCUCUUGGUGCUAUAAUCACUAUUCCUCCUCUUUUUUUUUUUUUUUUUUUUCCUUUUAUAAAAAUAAGUAAAUGCCAAGAGUCCCCUUUUCCCUUUUUGAAUCUGGGGAGGCAGUGAGGGGAAGGAGGUGUCCUCACCACUGCCCACCCUUGGGGUGAGGAUCCUCUGCCAUGCCCAUGGCAGAUCUGGGACCUGCCCUUCAUUUCUGGGAUGAUCCUCACUUCAGAGACUCUGUGAGCAGGGGGAAGAGUUGUUCAUACUGCCCAUGUCUAAACUCCUGCAGUGCAGAGAGCCCUCAAAGGCUUAAAAUUCUCCCACCACAUAGGAAAUUGUGUUCCCUCUUUGUCUCUCUUCUCUCACUGAGUUCAAGGAGGCUUAACAAGUCACUGGGGACAGAAACAAUAAUAUCUCUGUAUCUAAUGCUUACUGUAAGCAAAAGAUGGAUUACAAAAUAGGCUGUUUAUUUUUAAUUAUUAAUGUGUUUGUGCUAGCAAACCUUUGCAGAGUUACACAUUGUUUGUCACGGAUGGGAAAGGGGAUGAACUAUUUGGCAAUAGUAUUAAAAACAAUAAUUAUUCAUUCUGGGCAUGGCCAUUUUUUUUUUUUCCCCUAGUGUAUAAUAAAAAAAAUUUCAAAGCAUAUGCUGAGGCAAGGCCAGAAAGUGUUGUCCUGAAACAAAGGGUGGUAGAAAUCAGGGUUUUCCUCCUAGUUUAGUGAAAAAACUUUGCUUUACCUCCCUGCAGCACUGCCCUGCUCUCCUCUCCCUGAGGAUUCACCAGGGAAAAUGCCUCCCUGGACUAUUUACAGCUCUCUCCUUGCACUGCACCAGAGGAAUUAUCUGCCUCCUCCAGCCCUUAGCUAAUCCCUAAAUUGCAUCUCUGCUGCAAAGCUGAGUUUAUUUUCAUUCCUUCAUCUAGUAGUUUUAAGUAUUACGAGGAAUAAAAUGGACAUGCAAAGUGGUGCUUUAAUUUUCAAGGGCAGUGAAGUGUUUUAUUUUUAGGAUGCUCUUUUUGAGGAAAGAAUCUCUGGCAGGUCUUAUCUGGUGGCUAAGAAUAGUGACCUGGUGUGCCCUGAGUGCUGCUGCCCUGCCCUUCUCACACCUCCUGCUUACCCCGGGUGCUUCUGAUCAGCUCAUUAGGGCUGCCAAAAUUACAGGCCCUAAUAAUGUAAUAACAAGGUUUGCUGGCAAUAAUUAACUCCUUGCACUGGAAGGGUGAUGUUGGUAAUUAGAGAGCACAAAUAUUUACUGUGAGCAGGUUUUUCUGUGCAGGCUUUAGGAAACCAUCCGUGUGUCAUUCUCUUGAAUAUCAUGUUGGAAAACACUGAGAAGGGGCUGCUUGCUCUGAGAACAGUUUUGGGUAUAAACACCACGUUUUUAAACUCUUUCUGCUCUCAAUUUCAAUAUAAAUCUUACUUCAUGAGAGCCUUUUAUUUUUUUGUGUGGUUUGUUUAUUGAUAACAAAUGCAUCCCACGCUGAAUUAGUUUCACAUCAUUAAUAACAAUUCCUCCAGUGACAGUGGGGCUGCUCCUCCCAGUUUUUGGGUAUGAUUUUUCCCUGAGAACAGGAGAUAAACAUCAGCAUCUCAAUGCACCAAGUACAUUUUUUAAAAAUACCCAUAUUGAAGUUUGCAUCUUGCCUAAAGCAGAGUUUGCUCCUGCAGUCCAGCAGUGUUCCUGCAGCUUGUCAUCAAAGCAAGAAGCACGCUGGGGGAAGUAUAAAUAGAAAUUCAUUUUAGUAAUGCAAAUCCUGCAGUCCUAUUUUGGGCAAGGAAAAUCCCCAUACCAUUUUAAAAAAAAAAAGUAGUGUGAUGGUCUAGUUUUAAGACUGGGUUUAUGAGGGAUUUUGUCUACCAGUGUGCUAUGGUGGAGAUUCUCCUCUGCCAUUUAAAUAUAUCUGUUUCUGAUUCAUCUAGCUUUUACAUGCUAUAAAUCCUUGCAAAUUAGCUUGGGGUAUGACCUCCUCCAGCAGCUCACUCUUUUUUUUAGUGCAGUGUUUUUGGCAGAUAAGUUCCCUCUCUUCUGCCUUCUAUGACUCCACUGGGAAAACAGUGAGGAGACAAAACCUUUAAAAUAUUUCACACCCUCAUCUGCUUUUUUCCCCCUUCAGAAGUGGCUUUUUGCUUAUAGUGCCCUAAACUUCUUGUGUGAGCCCUGCUGCGCUGUUUAGUGACUUUGCAAUGCUCUCUCUCUCUCUCUAAUAGUUGGUGAGCACCAGCUGACAGGGCACAAAGUGGCAGUGAAAAUACUGAACAGGCAGAAAAUCCGCAGCCUGGACGUGGUGGGGAAGAUCAAACGAGAAAUCCAAAACCUGAAACUCUUCCGGCACCCUCACAUCAUCAAACUACAUAAGUUUUGAAAGUCUCCACUUUGAUGAACCUGAGUUGGGGUCGUAAAUCAGCACCUGCACUGCAGCCUCUGGGAUUCCUGCUCAAUCCCCAGCUUGUGCAGCCAGCCCACAUUAAUGAGGCACUCGAUAAUAUCUUUGGCAUUCCUAUAAAAGAAAGCUGUUGAAUGGUAACUGCAAGGGUACCAGGUCAUCAGCACACCAUCAGACUUCUUCAUGGUCAUGGAAUACGUGUCCGGGGGGGAAUUGUUUGAUUACAUCUGUAAGCACGGACGUGUCGAGGAGGCAGAAGCUCGGCGCCUUUUCCAGCAGAUCCUCUCUGCAGUGGAUUACUGCCACAGGCACAUGGUGGUGCACAGGGACCUGAAGCCAGAGAAUGUGCUGCUGGAUGCCCACAUGAAUGCAAAGAUAGCUGAUUUUGGGCUGUCCAACAUGAUGUCAGAUGGUGAAUUUCUACGCACCAGCUGUGGUUCCCCAAAUUAUGCAGCCCCUGAAGUCAUCUCUGGAAGGCUCUAUGCUGGCCCAGAGGUGGACAUCUGGAGCUGUGGUGUCAUCCUCUACGCCCUCCUGUGUGGCACUCUGCCUUUUGAUGACGAGCACGUCCCCACCCUGUUCAAGAAGAUCCGUGGGGGAGUGUUUUAUAUCCCUGAAUACCUCAACCGCUCCGUGGCCACGCUCCUCAUGCACAUGCUGCAGGUGGACCCCCUCAAGAGAGCCACCAUCAAGGACAUCAGGGAACACGAGUGGUUCAAGGAGGAGCUGCCCAGUUACCUGUUCCCAGAGGACCCUUCCUACGACGCCACGGUCAUCGACGACGAGGCGGUGCGCGAGGUGUGCGAGAAGUUCGAGUGCACCGAGUCGGAGGUGAUGAACAGCCUGUACAGCGGCGACCCCCAGGACCAGCUGGCCGUGGCCUACCACCUGGUCAUCGACAACCGCCGCAUCAUGAACCAGGCCAGCGAGUUCUACCUGGCCUCCAGCCCCCCCACCGGCUCCUUCAUGGACGACAGCGCCCUGCACAUCCCGCCGGGCGUGAAGCCGCACCCCGAGCGGAUGCCGCCGCUCAUCGCCGACAGCCCCAAGGCCCGCUGCCCCCUGGACGCCCUCAACACCACCAAGCCAAAGCCCCUGACUGUCAAAAAGGCCAAGUGGCACCUGGGGAUCCGCAGCCAGAGCAAGCCCUACGACAUUAUGGCCGAGGUGUACCGGGCUAUGAAGCAGCUGGACUUUGAGUGGAAGGUGGUGAACGCCUACCACCUGCGGGUGCGCCGCAAGAACCCCGUCACCGGCAACUACGUGAAGAUGAGCCUGCAGCUCUACCAGGUGGACAACCGCAGCUAUCUGCUGGACUUCAAAAGCAUCGAUGACGAGGUGAUGGAGCAGAGGUCUGGCUCCUCCACGCCCCAGCGCUCCUGCUCGGCCGCGGGCUUGCACCGGCCGCGCCUGAGCAUCGACGCGGCGGCGGCCACCGAGUGCCAGUCGCUGAUGGGCUCCCUGAGCGGCUCCUUCGUGGGCAGCAUCCCCUCGGUGCCCCCUCGCCUGGGCAGCCACACCAUGGACUUCUUCGAGAUGUGUGCCAGCCUCAUCAUGGCCCUGGCCCGCUGAUGGCCCCUCUGCACACUGUGAGGAUCUGCGCUGACUCGGCCGCCCCCUCCUUUCUUUUGCUUCCUUGCUCUUCCCCCUCCUCCUCCCCUCACUGCCCCACAGAGCCAAGUCCAGACCCAAAACAUGCUCCCCUCUAGCAAGGCACCAAGGAAAUUAACUUAAUUCUUCUCCUUGUGCCUGGCGAAAUGUAUCCGAUACUCUUUUUUCUUCUUUCCUUCUGAACCCCAUGGGAAAUGUUAAGGCUGUAAAGUAACAAAUGUUAUCACUGAGUUUUUGGAAAACACCUCCCCCCUGGUUCAUCCUGAGGUAAUGGAGGCACAGCCACGCUUCCUGCAGGGAGUUUAAUGUUUCCCUGAUGCUGUGCAGAGCAGGGGCAGGCUGGGCUGAGCCAGGGCAGAGGCGUUGACCAGGAGCUCUGUGAGAUGGAGUGGAGGGUGAUGAAGCAGCUCUGCAGCCUUCACACCCAGGUGCCAGCCUCUCUCACACUUCUCUCCCCAAAGCAGCAGCUGCUUAGGUGCUUCUGCACUAGUGCAAUAUGACCUCCCUCCCCUCUCUUUUUCCCUCUGCUGAAGAUGGGCAGGAAAGGUGGGACGUGCAAAGGUCCUGGUGCAAACCUGCCGUGGGGAGGCCACUCUUUGCAGAGGAAUGUCCCUAAGGUGCAGUCUGUGUCCCUGUCCACUCUUUGCAGAGGAGUGUCCCUAAGGUGCAGUCUGUGUCCCUGUCCACUCUUUGCAGAGGAGUGUCCCUAAGGUGCAGUCUGUGUCCCUGUCCACUCUUUGCAGAGGAGUGUCCCUAAGGUGCAGGCUGUGUCCCUGUCCACUCUUUGCAGAGGAGUGUCCCUAAGGUGCAGGCUGUGUCCCUGCCCACUCUUUGCAGAGGAGUGUCCCUAAGGUGCAGGCUGUGUCCCUGCCCACUCUUUGCAGAGGAGUGUCCCUAAGGUGCUUUAUUUUGCCCAAGGGCUCUGGACAGCACUGAGCUGCUCCCCACACUCGGAGCUGAAGGCAGACUGCCUUUUUCUCCCCUCCCUCCAGCCUGCUCCCCCUCCCCUGCCUCACCAGGGCUCCAGGGGCUGAAUCCCAAGCAGGGUUCAGGUGAGCAGAGACAGGAUCUGGAUCACCCACCUGAGGACCCAGCACUUCCCCCGAGGGUUGGGAUCAUCCCAGGAGCCAUCAGCAGCGCACAGCUCCGGAGCACUCACCUCUCACCUUUCCCCUAGGAUGCUCUGCCUGUUGUCACUCCCCAAAAUCACUGCCAAAUCUGCCUUCCCUGCUGCUGGACACUCACUGCCCCUGCCCAAGGGCUCUCCUGUCCUGCUGCUGCUGCCCACAGGACCGUGACCUUCGCUGCUCCGCUGACCAGGCAGGGAUAUCCCAACCCGGAAUUUUACUGUUCCUUUGCAACUGGCUAUCUGAAGGAUGGGAUUUUAUUUUUUAAAUUGAACUGCAGGGAUUUUUAAGGUUAAAUUCUUGUUACCCAAGGGUAAACCCUAAUGCAUGUGUGACUUCUUUGUUUAAAAGAGUUAUUAUUUUUUAUUUCAUGGGAUUAGUCUAACGGGCAGCGUUGGCAUCUGCUUGGCUUUGACAUGGUAUUUAAUUCCAUUUACUUGAUUAUGAAGUAAUAGUCUGAUCAAGGAACAAAUGCUUUAUGAAAGCUUUGCCAAAAACAUGUUGGGUGAGGGGUUUGGUUUUGUUCUGCUUUUUUUUUUUCUUUUGUGUUCUGUUUUAAGAAACAAAGCAAAGAACUUUUGCUGGUCCCAGGUAUGCAGUCAUUUGACUUGAAAAAUAAUGCAAUCUGUCUUUUUGAUAGUUUCUUAUGACCCCUUGAGGUUUUUUCCUAGGGUUUUCUUUUUUGUACAGUUGCACUUUAAUUUAUACUUUCUGCAAGUUUGUAUGAGAAGCAAGGAAGAGAACAACAAAUUAAGCCUUUUUUACUAAUCAUUUAAGGUAAUCAAGACAAACAUGGGAUAUUUUGCCAUCUACUGGCAGUUAAACGGACUUUUUCAGUUUGAAGUCCCUUUUUUUUAAAAAAGAACCACAAAAUUGCCUUACUUUUGUUACAGAUUGUGCUUGGAUCCUCACUAACUUGACUUUACAGCUGCAAUUUUUCCAGAAGCCGCACAAAGUAGAAAGCUUCCAAAAAAAAAAAAAGAAAAAAAGAAAAAAAAAAAGAAAAAAAUCAGUUUUGCUGUUAAGCUCUUGAACACUAAAUCCAACAGCAGUGGACUGUAAGAAAUACUGGAAAAAUUUGUAGUGCUCCUAGGGUUUGUAAUGAGCCUUUUAUUAUGUUAUGAUUAUUAAAUAAAUACUCUGGGGUGAGGAUGGCUUUGGUGCUGUGCCUGGUGGCUGCCAGGUGAUUUGUGUCCCCAGUGCUGUGGUGUGAGUUUGGAUGGAGAAUCCAAACUCCUGCAUGCAAAAAAAAAAAAUCCAAACCCCACCCCAGAGUCAAAGCUGAGGAACACCCAGCCCUUGAGCAGCUUUUGGAUCAAGGCUGAGAUUUGGGGUGAUGGAGAUAAACCCCUUUGCAGAGGAGCAGGAGCAGCUGUAGGGGCAGACAUUAAUUUCCAUCCAGGAAACAGGAAUGAAAUGAAGUGAAAUGUAUUUCAAAUGUAUUUCAAAGGCUUUUCAAAUCUUCACUCCCAGCUGAGCAUUUUGCCAAGUCCUGGCAGCACCUGUAGCCCCCUUGAUAAGGGGCUGGUGUGUUCCAGUCUGGGGCUCAGGAGCAGGUAGAUGUACUGAUGUCUUUUUUCAAAUUGACUCUUGUCCUCUGGGAUUUCCUACCCAGCAGAACUAAUAGUAUUAAGCAGCAGCAAAUGCCCUUGGGAGGAAAUAUUUGCUUCCUGGAGGCGGGUGGGAUUUCUAGGUUGCAGAAUAAGCCCCUUGUGGCACUUGGCGUCUUCUCCGACCCGUGCAAACAUUAACUGCUGUGUGGAUCUGCAGAACCAGUCCUGCCUGCAGGGCAGUCAGAGUUACUCAGCUUUCCAUAUGCAGAGACACAAAGAGAUGAAGCACUUCCCUGCUCAGGGUCAGCAGAGGCAGUGGAGGGAGCAGGACUGCUGGAAGCACCUCCCCAGUGACCACGAGUGGCUGGUCCUUCACAGCCUUGCCCAAAUCCGUGCUGCACUUUGGAACACUCUGAGGACUUUCACUUCUUUUUGUUAUUUAUUUUACCUUCAAAUAGGCUGUGUUCUGUUUCUGCUGCAGAGGAGCUGCUGACCUCCAGUUACAUUUUCCAGAGGAAGAGUUUAACUUCCACACUGUUACACUGUGGUCAG